CCCUGGUUCCUUUUAUAGGAACUGACUACAGAAACGCCCGCCCCCCCACACAUACACUAGUGAUGAAGAAAAUGGGGUCAGAGAGAGUCUGGGGUGUCCCAGCUCAUCACAUUCCCCACAGCACCCCUUAGAGCCUGGGCCCAGACUGGACAAGUAUGGCACAAGGGUAUAAAACACAGCCCAAGAUCUGCCUGCUGUUGGCACCCUGGCCUGAAGCUGACCCUCCUAAAUGGACCUAGUCUACCUCAGUCAUAGAGGGUAUCAGCUGUGUGUGGGCAUCGCUCAUUCAGUUACUCAUCUAUUUAUCCAUCCAUCCCAAGCCACUCUCCAUUUACGAGGCAGACAAGAUAAGCAGAGAACGAGAUACCAGUCUUGCAGCAGGUAGAGUGAAGUCCAAACCCCGACUUGCAUGCACCAGCUGUGUGAACUUAGACAAGGCCCAGCCUCAGCCUCCCUGUCUAUAGAAUGGGGGUGAACUGGGCCUGAGAGAUGGCUCAGCCAGCGAAGGCUCUUGUCAUCAAGACUGAUGAUUUGAAUUUGAUCCCUAGAGGCCACAUGACAGAAGGAGGUAACUAACUCCCACAAGCUGCUUCCACCUGUUAACCGUGGUGCUGGCAUGAGGGAGGGAACACACACACACACACACACACACACACACACACACACACACAAAUAAAUAAAUAAAUUUAAAAAGAUGUGGUAUGAGAUGUGAGACACAUGGGAAGUGGAGGUUGAUAGGCUGUUGUCCCUGUUGUGAGGGACAAAGUGAUGAGUAGUGCUUUGAAAGAAGCCAUCAUGAAUGAGAUCAUAGGCGUGGGAAAGUCGAAUCCUAUGAAUGGGCUGCUUGCAAGUGUUUGUGGGAGACCAGGCCUUGGGGAAGUCCCCUGGAAUACUGUUGACUGUUUAUGACAGUUUGGGAACAUGUAGAAUUCUAGAACUCAUGGUGAGCCGAGCCUGGACCCUGGACAGGAACGGAGUGUCCCCUGAUUCAUGUCUGUGUCACCCCAGGGAGAAGACACUGGGAACCCAUUUCACAGAUGAGAAAAAUCAAGACACAUCCAGGGAGGCUCCUCUGCAAGCCUGGAACAGCCUGACACUCAACCUUCUGGAGGCAGAGCUUGGGCAGGUUCCCCAUUCUCUGGACACCUCACUGGCUCUACCCCAAGGUGGUGCAUGGUUCAUGCCCAGGACAAGCAUGGCAGCUUCGGAUGGAGAGACUAAGGCUUGGAGUCACCUUCCCAGGCGGUUCCUAUGCACAGCCACUUCCCAGCCACUUCCUGUGGCCCCGAGAUCACGCUGCCAGGGACCUACCUGAGGACCUGUCAGGAAGAGUUUCAAGGGGCAGCCUUGGCUCAGGCCCGCAAAGGGAAGCUCAGGAGACCGUUGACUUCAAGGCCCUCAUACCCACCAGGAAUCUCUCCUGCCUACCCUCUUGGGGAGGCCUCUGUUAGCUGGGGCCGGUGUAGGAAGGGCUGUGCCCAAGCCAGCGCCCACAGUCCUUGCAUUCCAAUCAUCGCUGGGCUCUUUGGCUGUGGACUGUAGCUGCAGUGGUACAACCAGGCCUGGGCGUUCAGCGCCUCUCCAAGGGGCCUCAGAGAUACCUGCUGACCCCGGCUGCUGCAGUGCCACAGAGGCCGGAGGGCAAAGGGGGAGUUUGGGGUCUUAGCAGGGUGCUCAUGGGUCUUUAGAGUCUUAGCAGGAUGGCAUUGGCUUCAACCUGGCUAAUGUGGCUGCAUUCCUCGGGCCCAGCUCCGCGCUCUGAACCCAUAUGGCCCCCAGGAGCCCUUUGCCUGUAGAGGACUCCAUUAAGUCUAGCUGGCACUCACCUCCUCGUAGAUCCAUUGAUCUUACCUGUUAGUAGGCCUCCUUAGGGCCCCUUGCUGAGACCAUAGACCAAAGGGCAAGACUUAGGCUGAAGUGUGGGCCACAAAGGAGGCCUGCUGGGCUGAACUGGGCUGGGCUGGGCUGGGCAGGCCACGUGGGAACUUAGGGGUAUUUUUAGACUCUGUAUGGGAGGGAGGGGGGAGUGGAGGAGGAGGGAGUGAGGUCCCAGCUCUUCGAAGACUGUCUCCUUUGAAAGCCCACACUGUCUGAAGUCACACAGGAGACUUCUGGGUACCCAGAGUACUAGAAUGGACAGUGGGGAGCUUCUUGGGCAAGCCGGUGUUUUGAUUCAUAUCCCAGGCCGUCAGGCUGAGCUGGGGGAGCUGAGAAUGUGCCAUGGAGACACAUCAGGGUGGAGACAGCAGGAGCCUGUGCUGGGGCCUGUGGGACCCAUAGAAAACUGCUCAGGGCCGACACUAAGAACCUUCUGGUACUGCUUCGCCACUGUGCUGAUGAGGACUCAGGUAGCCACAGCCCCUCUGUGGGGUGGGACGGUCGCGUCAUGAGUAAGUACAGGCUGGACAAGCUUGAGGUCCACAGUGGAGGUGGGGAGGCUUCAGCAGCAAAGGUAGUUCUCAGGGUAGUGAUGGGUAGUGAUGGGGAGACUCCUGACUCCUGAGUGCACGGUGGGAGAGACUGGGCUUGUCCCCACACAAGAAACAAAGCCUUGGCCUUGGGCUGCCCCGGUGUUCCCCUCCAUCCGGAAUGCUCAGGCAGCUGAGAAAUGGGGGUCAUCCAAAAAGAAAGUGGCCAAGGUUUGCAACCUUCCAUGAAGUGCUUGGUUCGUGGGGACACACUUCUUUUCGCAGACAGACUCUAGGAUGCUUACGUCAGCCAAGGUCAGGUUGGGUCAGGGACCAGAGGAGGCGGUCAGAGGAAGGGGCAAGGCGAAGACUUUGCUUACUGCCCCGUUCGCAGGGCCAGUGCUUCUGCUGUUGGGGGAGGGGGGAAUGAAGGACAGGGACUGUAACCCAGCAGACCGUGGGGACAUUAGAGGCCCGGUGUAUUAUUGGAUGAGAGACUUGGUAGGGAACACAACACCAGGGACUCAACAUGACAGGUUGCUUCCAAGAGCUGGGACUUUAAAGUAGAUGAUACAAGUCAGACAUGUUUUUGAAAUAUAAAGAUAUGUAGCAGAGCUCUCCUAUAGUAAAUGACAGUACCCCUCCCCGAGACUGUCAACUCUGAGUCUGGACAGGUACACAUGGCUGGGUGGCUGGCUGGCCGGCUGGACACGUGCAUGUCACUGCCUUGAUCACUUGAUGCUGAAUCAUGAGUUUUGAGGAGACUGGUUUGAAAACAUGACUUUAAGCGUCAUCUUGACAGGAAGAUGCCUUCCUCCCCAAGGCUGAAUGUGACUCCAGGCACAGCUCCUAUUCACGGGCUUUCGGCUCAUUUUCCGUUUUGGACACUAUGAUGAAGAGUAUCAGCUACACAGUUACUUCCCUGGAACAGACUCCCAGUGUGAAUUCACCAAACUAAAAUGCGUCACUAAAAUCUUUUAAAGGUUCGGCUCACCCCAGAGGGACCAGGCCUGGAGGAGGCACACCUGCUUUUGCUGGCCAUGCUUUCCAUGUGUGAACAGUCAGGCUUCUCUGUUCUUGGGUCAGAACCACCUUGCUGGAUUGACACUGCUUUAUAAUAAUGACACCCCAGGUCAGAAUCAAGCUCCUUUUCUAUGCUCUCCUGUUGUAUCUGUCAGCUAUUGGUGUGGAACAAUUUGUCCCCAAAUCUAGUGUCUCAAAAGAGCAAUGCCCCACAAGUGCCAUCCGGGGGUGGUCCUUUCAGAAUGUCCCAUCAUGCUUCAGUAAGGGGUCUUCAAGCUUUGGUCACCUAAAGGCUGUUUUUGGGUGGGGACCUGCUGGGCUAUGUGGAGGAAGACUGGAUCCCUCCCUACACAUACCUCCCGGGUCUCCAUAGGGUCUUUUCUCACCUGGCUACUGGCUUCCCUGAGGUGUUGAGGGAAGCAGCUACAGAAUUGGAGUCACAGUGUCUUCCAUAGUCUAAUCAGAAACGACGCCCCCAGUGUCUGCCCUGCUGUAUUCUGAAGGGUAAGAGCUGUGACUAUAAAGGGGACAAGGUCACUCAGAACCUUCUUAGAGGCCUCACAGCUUCAGUAUCAGUUGCUUCUCAUGUUGUGGUGAAGCAACUUAAAGGAUAAGAGCUUACUUUGGCUCACAGUUUGAGGGGACACAGCCCAUCACCCUGAGGUAAGCGUGGCAGCCAGAGUGUCAGACAGUGGUCAUACUGUGUCAGAAUCAGGAAACAGAAAGCAGACAGACACUCGCCCUGGGCUUUGAAAGCUCAAGGUCCUUCCCCAGUGAUCUACUUCCUCUGGUCAGUUUCUACCUUCAGUGGGUUCCACAUCAUACCAAAACAAAAUCACCAACCGGUCUACCUCCAGUGGGUUCCACAUCCUACCAAAACAGGACCACUAACUGACCUACUUCCGAUGGGUUCCACAUCCUACCAAAACAGGAUCACCAACUGACCUACCUCCAAUGGGUUCCACAUCCUACCAAAAUAGGAUCACCAACUGGUCUACCUCCAGUGGGUUCCACAUUCUAACAAAACAGGACCACUAACUGAUUGAUCUACCUCCAAUGGUUCCACAUUUUACCAAAACAGGAUCACCAACUGGUCUACCUCCAAUGGUUCCACAUCCUGCCAAAACAGGAUCACCAAGUGGUCUACCUCCAAUGGUUCCACAUUCUACCAAAACAGGAUCACCAAGUGGUCUACCUCCAAUGGUUCCACAUUCUACCAAAACAGGACCAUCACCUGGGGACCAAGAGUUCAAACACAUGAGCUUAUGUGCAAGACUUUGUCUCUGCUUCUUUGAAAUGAACUUUGCAGUUGUAUUUUAAAAGCUCAACCUUGUGUUGGGUGGUGGGAGUGCACGCCUUUAAUCCCAGCACUCAAGAGGCAGAGGCAGGCAGAUAUCAGUGAGUUCAAGGCCAGCCUGGUCUACAAAGUGAGUUCCAGGACAGCUAGGACUGUUACACAGAGAAACCCUGUCUCAAAAAAAAAAAAAACCCACAAACAAAAACAAAAAGCUCAACUUUGCAUUAAGCCCUCAUUGAUCUGGAGAACUGACAUCUUACUAUGCUUGCUCUGGUCACCAAGGAGGGUACCAUUCCUUUAUUCAACUUGGCAUGGUUUCUAUUUCUGUAUAUUCAUUCUGCACACAUUUACAAACUGACAAAAGAGUCCUGACUCACCUGAAAGCCUUGUUCUGUGGCCUCAACCUCCGGGGCGUAUAUGAAGGGAUUCUGGGUCCUCAGUGGAGUUUUGCCAGCAGGACAACAGACUUAUGUGUCCAACUGUGAGUGUGGCCUUGAGGGGCCAACCUCUGCCUAUGUGGGCAUCUGCUCCCCACAGGUGAGCUGUUAGAGGGCCAGGGUCUCCUAGCCUGCUGGAUAGGUCAUCAGAACUAUCCAGAAUGUCUUUGAAAAUCAGCUACCUGUCCUCACCCAGGCCAGAGAAACAGAAUCUCUAGGUAGCUUCCUGUAGAAGCAAUGUGUCUGCAGAAGAAGUUGCCUUCCAUUUGGGCUACAAGCCUAGGUUUGAGUCCCCACUGCCUCCCAUGCCUGGCAUCCCAUCUAGCCCCAGGUCCCUUGGGUCUUCUUGGGUGUCCCUGAGAGUCUGAGUCUGGCCUUUCAGCUGAGAAACUGAGAUCCAAAGGCUGUGAGGACCGGGUGUGCCCACUUCUUGACUAGGAGAUGCAAGGCUGAUGCCCUCCCAAGCCACAACCCAGCCUCCUUCUCUGUUGCUCUCUAAAAGAAAUGACAGUAACUACCUGCAGGUGUCACACCCACUAGUGUCUGCUUGUGGAAGUACCACAGGCUAGUGAGCAUCUGAGCUUGUGGGUACCUCUGGGCAGGAUCCCUCACCCACCGCCCUUCAAUCCCACCGGGACCAGGGAUGGGCAAGCCAGCGUCAGCACCACAUCCCUGAUCCUAUGAUGUAGGGAGGAGUCUGGAUCCUCUGGGGGCUGACAUCUUGACCUGAUGCUGUAGCUGCAGUGAGCGAGCUGGGGUCUGAGUGCCCACUCAGUGGCCAGGCUCUGUGGACACAGGCAGCUUUGCCAGGGGCUGGAGUGAUGAGCAAGUGUGUACCAGCCAGGAAGAGGAACUUUAUUUAGCAAACACACGUCCAGAUUUAGCUCCCUGUGAGGCUCUAGACGCAGAGGAAGCCAAGGGCAGGAUAGUGGGGUUCACCAAGUCACCCCCAGAGCAGGUCCCAGGGCUGGAGGCAACUUGUAGCCAGGAUCUGUGCUGCUGGCCUUUGCGGCUCU